rnacentral:rRNA from 1 species
GAUGAACGCUGGCGGCGUGCCUAAUACAUGCAAGUCGAGCGAACAGACGAGGAGCUUGCUCCUCUGACGUUAGCGGCGGACGGGUGAGUAACACGUGGAUAACCUACCUAUAAGACUGGGAUAACUUCGGGAAACCGGAGCUAAUACCGGAUAACAUGUUGAACCGCAUGGUUCAACAGUGAAAGACGGUCUUGCUGUCUCUUAUAGAUGGAUCCGCGCCGCAUUAGCUAGUUGGUAAGGUAACGGCUUACCAAGGCAACGAUGCGUAGCCGACCUGAGAGGGUGAUCGGCCACACUGGAGCUGGGACACGGUCCAGACGCCUACGGGAGGCAGCAGUAGGGAAUCUUCCGCAAUGGUCGAAAGCCUGACGGAGCAACGCCGCGUGAGUGAAGAAGGUCUUCGGAUCGUAAAACUCUGUUAUUAGGGAAGAACAAAUGUGUAAGUAACUAUGCACGUCUUGACGGUACCUUAUCAGAAAGCCACGGCUAACUACGUG